GCUGGCAGGGCUGGACUCCAUAGAGCGGGAGCGGCUCUCCCUGCAGGGACCGGAGACUUACUACUACCUCAACCAGGGCCAGGCCUGCAGGCUGCAAGGCAAGGAGGAUGCCCAGGACUUUGAGGGGCUGCUGAAGGCACUGCAGGGGCUCGGCUUGUGCCCAGAGGAGUUGAAUGCCGUCUGGGCUGUGCUGGCCGCCAUCCUGCAGCUGGGCAACAUCUGCUUCUCCUCCUCAGAGGUGGGCUUCCCCGUGGGCAGGGGCCAUCUGGGGUGCUGGGUCUGUAGAAUCAGGGCAGUGGUAAUGACGCCAAAUGCUGGUGUGUAGGAGACUACAGAGUGCUGGGCUGCCCUGAAAAGUGGGUAGAUCCCCACUGUGUAGAUGAGAAAGCUGAGACAUAGAGCUUCUCCACUCUCCCAAUGUCUGUGCCU
rnacentral:lncRNA from 1 species